CCCCCUCCCCACCCCUCCUCCUGUUCUGCCUCUCACUGGAUGUUGUGGUUAAAAAGGGAGAGUAAGGGCACAUUCAAGUUUUUCAGUGCGACUGAAGGAUCACUUUUUCCCUCUUCCCCCGGUGGAGUAUGGGGGAAUGGAGCAGAGGGGUGUGUCGGAGCACAGAUGGGCUCUAUUUUGAUUGUGGAGCGUUGGUUGUUAUGGGAGACGGAAGGAGGGGAGGGGCCACGUGGUGCUUAUGCCUAUAUAAGACUUGCACUUAAACUCCAAAGAGCCUGGUCAUCCCAUGGCCCAGGCUGAUCCAGACUCCGACAAAGUUGACCAACUUUGAAACUGCUUCCACUUCUGACAGCCCUUACUGGAAUAAUCUGUGAUUUCAAGGACUUGAGAUUUUAUGACCUCACCUACAACAACAUUUGGAUUUACAUUCAUUUUUUUCAGCUAUUGACCAUUAUUUUUUAUUUUUGCUUUUGAUCAUCAUUGCAACCUGCAAUGUUCUGAUCCAACAAAGAGAAGAUGCUGAAGACAACAAGUGCCAGAUUUUUCACACCUCCAUGAAACUGCAUCCAUAUUAAUAUGAAUUAGAGCUACACACAUCUGUCUGCAUGUGUUUAUGCACUUGUUUUAUUUGGUAUGCUGGUGCGGGUGGAUGUGAUGUAACAUCAGGUUGGAUGUUUUCCAGAGGUAUGGCCUGUGUCCAGUCUCAUGAGGAUUCAGCCAUGCCUCUCUGUUUCCUUUGUUUGUUUGUGUGUGUGUGUGUGUGUGUGUGUGUUGAUGUGUUUGUCUGAGAAUGGGUCUGCAUAGUUUAUUUGCAUGAAAAAAGAAAAUAACCUCGCGAUCUGAGAUUAGAUAUGCAGUGUGUUUGACGUGUGCAGUGCGUGUUGACAUAUGAAAGAGGGAACUGAGGGAGUGUGUUUAGAGUUGUCAGUUCAAUUGCUAUUUAAAGAACAGAAAAGGCAGAGAAAGUCAGUUAAUGUCAGCUAGCAACAUGAAAAGCAGUAAAGACAUCUAUGCAGCACUUUUAGUUUGAUAACUAUGUCCACACAGUGACACUUUAAAUGUGUGUCUGCAUGUUUUGUUUUUUUUUCCUCCAUGUGGGUGUGAUUUGGUCAUUUGUUAUUCCAUGCUUGCAUGCUCACACACUUCUGGUUUUCUUCUGCUUUGUGGUUUUCUUGUUUGUGUGGACAAAGUGUACUUUUGCUGGGGCCAAAACUUGGUCUGUUUUUUUUCCCCCUCAUCUCAUCAUCAUGCAUAGACUACCAUACAUGCUCUCUUUCUAUCCCUCCCACUGAUUUUAGACAUACAACAUAUUUCUGUUCCUUUAAUUGGGAAGAACUUUUUGUUGAUAAAGAAUCACAGAUUUGAUCUCCUGCAGCAUCUGUAGCUGGUCACCGUUCAGCGUGGGUGUUUCUGCUUCACUCCAGUACCAGAUGUAAAUAUGUUCAGAUGUUGUGUUGAGGAGGUACAGAGGUGAACUGAGGACACAGCUGAGGCUGUCUGAAGUUAGGGCAGCGGCCUUUUGAUGUAUGAUGUCAUCUGCAGUUGUUUGUCUGCUUGUGUGCUUUACUGGACUUUUUUAGAGGUCGUGGCUGGGUCCUGGCGAGGAGAGCUGUGGCUUGGCCAUCCUUAAAGGUGCCUAACUGACACUACCAGGGUUAGAGUGCUGCCUACUGGGAUUACCUGGCUGUGCUGCUUUGAAGUGAGACUGCUUCUGAUAAACAGGAAGGACUGAACAGGUGCUGGAGCUGGCUGACUCAUCCGCUCAGCAUGUGCUCUUUGCAUUCAUUACUCAACUCAGUGAUCAAACCAUAAAGAAACACAUUAUGUCUAAUAAAAACACGAGUGCAAAGCAA